rnacentral:rRNA from 1 species
GAUGAACGCUGGCGGCGUGCCUAAUACAUGCAAGUCGAGCGAACAGACGAGGAGCUUGCUCCUCUGACGUUAGCGGCGGACGGGUGAGUAACACGUGGAUAACCUACCUAUAAGACUGGGAUAACUUCGGGAAACCGGAGCUAAUACCGGAUAAUAUAUUGAACCGCAUGGUUCAAUAGUGAAAGACGGUUUUGCUGUCACGUAUAGAUGGAUCCGCGCCGCAUUAGCUAGUUGGUAAGGUAACGGCUUACCAAGGCGACGAUGCGUUGCCGACCUGAGAGGGUGGUCGGCCACACUGGAACUGAGACACGGUCCAGACUCCUACGGGAGGCAGCAGUCGGGAACCUUCCGCAAUGGGCGAAAGCCUGACGGAGCAACGCCGCGUGAGUUAUGAAGGUCUUCGGAUCGUAAAACUCUGUUAUUAGGGAAGAACAAAUGUGUAAGUAACUAUGCACGUCUUGACGGUACCUAAUCAGAAAGCCACGGCUAACUACGUG